AAGGGCCUCGGACCUCAUAACCAUACAGCAAUUCAAAUGGUGAAAAACCAGUGGAGGCCUGUGGCACUUCUCGAUAUGCAAAGAGAAGGGGACCAACAAUGUCCAUUCCCAGCCGUUCAAAUGGGGUGUUGAUAAUUGGUAACGACUGAAGAGGAGCUCUGGAGGGGAUCUUCAGAGAAGACUUUUGGCACUGAGGGCAGCCUUUGCAGAACAAAGCCACAUCAGCUUGUAUUCCAGGCCAGAAAAAAUAUUUUCUGAUGCGGGCCAUUGUCUUGUGCUUUCCAAGAUGGCCAGCCCAUGGAAUGGAGUGCCCUAAGGACAACACCAGCUUCUGGACUGGUCUAGGAACCACCAACUGCAAUGCUGACCCCUGUUGACCAUACAGGAUGCCAUCUUUCAAAAAAAAUUCCUCCCGCUUGGUUGAACCUUGUUCAGGUUGUUGGUUUCCCUCUGCUUUCUGAAAUAAAGGCGUUAAAGCUG